rnacentral:rRNA from 1 species
UAUGGCCUAGGGACGCAGCAGUGGGGAAUAUUGGACAAUGGGGGGAACCCUGAUCCAGCGACGCCGCGUGAGUGAGGAAGUAUUUCGGUAUGUAAAGCUCUAUCAGCAGGGAAGAAAAUGACGGUACCUGACUAAGAAGCCCCGGCUAACUACGUGCCAGCAGCCGCGGUAAUACGUAGGGGGCAAGCGUUAUCCGGAUUUACUGGGUGUAAAGGGAGCGUAGACGGUGCAGCAAGUCUGAUGUGAAAGGUCGGGGCCUAACCCCGGGACUGCAUUGGAAACUGUUGAACUGGAGUACAGGAGAG